AUACAUGCAUAGAGAUGGUGUACUUUCGAGAAAUACAAGACGAAAUGAUGACAUGAACUUUAACGAGGUUAAUACAAUCAAAAGAUUCGACGUAUCGAAUUAUACGCGAGUUGGACGAAUUCCAUUUAAUUAUCUCGCAUUCUCGCGAUUCCGCGGCCACGACUCGUGAAUUACGGACGAACUCUCGACGGUUAUAUGGAUUCAGAGGGGCCAUCGACACUGGCGCCACGCGUGGGUGUAAAUAGUAACUAGUAGAUUCGCGUCGCAAAGAGAAUAAAAACUUUUGUCGGGCAAGCAGGAUGGAGAUAUAGAAUGUCUGGCGGCAGCGCGUCUUGAAAAAAAGGAGAUCCUCGCAAUUAACUCGAAUAUCACAUUAUAAAUAUUUGACUAAGAGAGAUUGUACGAGGUCCAGAACGAUCUCAACGCUCGUCCAAGGGAAGAGAAGUCUGAGAGAGGAAAGAGGAUCAAUAGUAAAACACGAUAUUCGAGUUUCUCGAGGAUUAACCUGGUCACGCAGUUGCACUUGUCUCGAUGGUUCUUCCUUUGAUCGUUUCGAGUCUUUUUUAAAGCGAUCCCUAUUGAGCGUUGUACGAAGCCAAGUCCGGCGCAUUGUCUCCUCCCAAUAGGCUAGGCAUGCAUUUAUGUAUGCAAUACUCAGAGACUUGGAGCGCCUCGACGCCCUAAUACGCCGUUAUAAUUUAUAGUAGGUUGCUCCACGCUUUCGGAUACAUCAUCAUCCUGCAAUAUCGAUCGGCCGUACAAUGAAUAAUCAUGCUUCUUCCUCGAAAUGUGAAAAUUUCCUCGGCGAGAAUUGAUGUAAUUCUUAUCUUUAUUAGCGAAACGAUGAAAAGUUAAAGUUCUGACGAAAGAGAAACAAAUAAAUUAGGAAUCUUGGAUGAAUGAAUGAAGAAAUUGAAAAAAAAAAAAAAGAAGAAAGGAAUAUAGGAAAUAAAAUUUCCAACGAAAAGUAUUCGCAAUAAAUAGAACGAUAGGGAUAGAAGGAACGAAUAUUUGAUUUACAGAGACGAAAAAAAAUCCGAUAUCAUCGAUGAGAUGAAAAAGAAACACGGAGAAAACACACAAUUAAAUUAUUUCAAAAAAAAAAAAAAAAUAAUGAAGUGAAAAUCAAGAGAGAAAAAUUUUCCCUCGUCAUUUGAUUAUUUUAUAAAAAUUUUCCGUCUAAAAUUUCGUAACUCUACGAAAAAAAUCGAAUAAUCGAAAUCGUAAAGAAGCUAAAAAAAAAAAAAAAAAGACAAAGUUCGUUCGUUGUUUGGGGGAGAGGGAAGGAAAAAAAUUGUCGAGAAUCGACGAAUUUAAUUUCCUGGGCCGAGAUCUGCUCAUCGUGGUAUCCGAUGUUCGACAAAAACCCGAAUUAUCUCUGACCAUUAUUCCCGUAAUCCGUUAAUCCGUAAAUCGAAACACUCGCUCCUUCGAUCUGAAUUUCAAUAGGUGGCUGGAUAUCGACGAAAACACGAAUAAAACAGGCGACCUCCUAUAUAAAUAUCCGGAGGGGAGGAUAAUUCAUCGAAAUAAAAUUCAAGGAUUUACGGCUUCUACGUCCCCGUAUCCAUUGUAAAAUGACCACGUCGAUGUUUCAUGUUCGAAAAGAUUACAAUUCGACGAUGGAUUUUAACGUACGUGGAUUAAACCCACAUCGCGUAUAAUAAAUGACAAGCAAUUUCGUGUGUAUAUAUAUAUAUAUAUAUUUGAUUCGUUCGAUUUGAUUCGUGAUUAUAGCAACGAUUGCUUAUAAUGAUUUCGAUAUUAACAUUUUUCAUAUUUCAUCGCAUUAUUUUUGUAAUUAUUAUUAUACAAAAUAUUACAACAGAAUCAGCAGAGAUCGAAUAAUAAUAUUAUCAGAUGUAUAAAAAUAAAUACAAUAGUGUAUAUAUAUAUAUAUAUGGAGCAUCAUGAUUUUUUUAAAAUUUAAAUUCAAUAUUUAAUUCGAGAGAUAUCCGAAAAUUCUUUAAAAAAUCCAUCAUGCCUCUCGAAUCUAUAUCGAUGUAUAUGUAUAUAUAUAUAUAUAUAUAUACAAUUCACACCGUUUCGAAACGCGCUUCUCCUCCAUUAAUUCUCGCGGAUGCAAAGCAACGCGAUUCCCACAUCAAAUGUAGCGUGAGUAGAUAGAAUCGGGGGCCGAAUAGAUUCUUCCGUGGAGAGGAAGAUACGGCAGGAGGAGGAUAGGCCGUGGCGAAGCUCCCAAGGCCGGCGAUCUAGGCCAUCUCUGGCCCGCUAAUGGAUUACCAAGGCGCUCGAUAGCAAUUAGGAUGAUAUCGACGAGGGAGGCCGGCCGAAAGGAAAACUUCCGGAUAAUUGGCGACCGUGGAACGAGAGAAUUCCUUUCACUCCGAAUUACUUUUACUCACCAACACGAUCAAGAAAUUAAUUCGAGAAACUCUCGAGGAAUUUUCUGCCGCAUCGUGGGAGUAAUGAUGUUUUAUUGGGAAGAAUGAAGAACGAUGGGAAAUAGAGUGGCAUAAGGAUGAAUGAUGAAUAGGAAAUGUGUUUCGGGGCAAAGUUGCUUGUCGCGUAAUUUAGCUUAAAAUUCGAUUAAAAUUAAGAAAACUUUGAACCGUUGUAACUUCGGGGAUAGUGACUUCCGGUCGAUGAGUGAAACAUUGUUAGAGAGGUGGAACUUUGCUCUUUAAAACGCAUUUUCAAUUAUCCCGAUAUGAUUUCCUGUUCCGAAGAUAUCGUCGUGUAAAGAGGAGAUAAUUUUUACUCGUUCGCCUUCGAAACCCGAUCAAAAUUAAGAAAUCUUUAAAUCACUGUAACUCCAAGAAUAGUGACUUCCGGUCGAUGAGUAAAAGAUCGUUGGAAACGUGGAUCUUUGCUCUUUAAAACGCAUUUUCGUUUGUCCCAGUAGGACUUGCAGUUCCGCAGAUAUCGUCGUGUAAAGAAAAAGAUAAUUUUUAAUAAAUUUAUCUCUGUUCUUAUCGA